UCUGGGACAAGCAGUCAAGUGGCAGAAUCAGGCAUCAGUCAGGGAAUCAAUUCAGAUUCAGACUCCCCAGAUCAAUUCAGAUUCCCCAGGCUCUGGGGUAAAGCCUAGGACUCAGCAUUUUAUUCACCUGCCUAGAUAAUUCCAAUAUGUAGUCGGGGCAAGAAGCAGGAUAGAGUCCCAGUCUAAGGACGGCAGGCAGGUGUCAAUGACAUGACCUACCCUUGUGAAUGGGUGAAGCUGCCUGAGCCUGGUGUGGACAGGCCUGCAGUACAUCUGGGCUCAGCAGGAAAGAAUGCUGUGAUCAAUUAAUGCUACCUGCCAUGUAGUCAGGAGGGGGCUUGGUGACACAUGUGUGAUCUAAUCCCUUCAUAUUACAGAUGAAGAUGAUUGCACAGAGAAGGAAGGAAGGAAGAAGGAAGAGUGCUGCCCAAAGUCGUUUAGUGACCCAAAGAUCAGACCUAAGUCUCCUGGUUUCCAGUAAUCUUUGCUCUGCCACUCCUGCCCACCUUAGAUCCCCAUGGCUUAGGCCAGUCCUUCCUUCACCCUCUUGCUGCGGUCCAGAGCCAAAGGACUGGUUCUCUGCCCCUGCUUAUCAAAGUGGAUGUCAGCUCAUAACCCGUCCUUGUGGUUCUUCUGACACCUGUACCUUAGAAAACCAGGGUCCUAGCACUGUGAUAAUGGUGCCUAAUGGAUGACUCAGCCCUGAUCCUUAGUAAACAGCACAGUGCCCAACACAUGAGCAGACAUUCAGGAUGAGGCUGCCUGGAUGAGCCACAAAGACAAUCACAAGUAGGAAGAGGGACUUGAAUUUUAUUAUACACCAAGAAUGCAUGUUCUUCCUCCAAGAGCAGAAAGUUGACCUUUAGAUUAACAUGGAAGAUGGAAAUAAUGAUCAGAAGGCUGGAAAGACACAGAUGGGAAAGAAGUGACAGAGGACAAGUUUAAAGGACUGCACAUAUGCAAGCUUGCAUGCUUGACUAGUUGCAUGUUUGACCUGAAUACUAGACUAAGUUCACGAGCCAUUAACCCUAAAGUUUCACAGAGAACUAAUAUGGAACUUGAAAAGCUGGGAUGUAGUCAUCUGGCCCUUAGCUUAAAAAAAUUAUAGGGUCUCACUAAUUUCUAUUUGUGAUGAUAAAAGGGUAGGGGAGAGACCAUCAGAAAUAUAACUUGCAAACAUUUUUGAGUCUAUGUUUACAUAAAAGAUACAGCUUAUUGGAAGGCUCUUCCCAAUAGUCUAAUGGGUAGCAACUGUGACUGAUAUAAAUAAUGCAUUUAAGGAGCUUGGCAAAUAGCCUGGCAUAUGUAUAACAAGGAGUCAGUAUUUGUUAGCAAGGAUAAUGAUGAUGGAUUUUGCCCUGUAUCAUAUGAAAUUCUUACUAAGAAAUUGGAGAAUUUGGUUUAAACCCCUGUGACUCUUUCUGCUCUUAUCACAGUCUGCCAUAUAAUGUAGUUAUGUAUAUAUGUAUUUUAUUUUCCUCGAGUGGUGUGGAAGAAGCUUUUUUUUUUCAGUUAUGUAUGCCUGGCACUCACACACUUGCUCAUUCUUGUUAUGCUCCAACAACAGACAUGAGGCAAAUGAUGUCAAUCCUAUCAUGUCCACAUUUGGAAGGGAAAGCGGCAUUAGAUAUCUGGUUUUCUUCUAUGAUUAGGAUUUAUCUCAUGGCGGAAAGAUACAACAAUUCAUUUUAAUAAAUAUUUGUUGUGUCUGUUGCAUGCUGGAGACUCCACUAGGCACAAAAAUACAUCAGUAAGUGAGAGGGCUAGUAUUCCCUCUGGGUGUCCCCUUUCUUUGUAGGUACUGUACAUCUACAACAUAUCUGACAAUUUGCUUUCUACCACUUCUAAAACCAUUUCCUUCACUGUCAUACAUCCAAGGCUGUACCUGUGGCCAAUUAUGGAUGCUUUUAUGUUUUGACAUGAUUUAAUUUCCAGGUAACGGUCAUUUCAGUAAAUGGUGCUAGAUCAAUUGGAUAUCCAUCUGCAGAAAACAAUGAAUCCUGACCCCUACCUCACACCAUACACAAAAUGUGAAAUGUAAACAGUAAAGUUCUUAGAAGAAAACGUAUGAGAACAUUUUCAUUCAGCCUCCACAUCAUGUUUGUGUGCACUAUAUAUAUAUAUAUACACACAUAUAUAAUAUGAAAUAUAAUAUAAAAAUAAAAACUAAUUAUAUAAAAUAUACAUAAGAUAUAUAUUUACAUAAAAAUUUUAAACAGUAUACAGUACAGAGUUCUACAUAAAGCUCAUUCAAUGUUUUAAGAAAGCCCGAUGUCUCAGAACAGAUUAAUAACAGAGCCACUCAAGGGACCUGUGGUUGCUUGCCUAAGAACUAUGGUCUGUUCACUGGCAAGUCUUCAAGAUGAUUGGAACCUACUAAGUCCUUCCCUAGCUACGUCACAGUAGAAAAGGCAUAGUCAGGCCCUGAAGUGACUACAGGAGCCAGAUGAAAGAAUAUUCAGGAACCCACCAGAUCAUCAUAGUCCUAGUCAUUGGUGAGCAUCUUUUUCUUCUCCUUUUUUUUUUGAAGCAGAUCUUGCUCUGUUGCCUAGACUGGAAUGCAGUGUUAUGAUCACGGCUCACUGCAGCCUUGACUUCUUAGGCUCAAGUGAUCCUUCUGCCUUAGCUGGGACCACAGGCCUAAACCACCAUGACUGGCUAAUUUAAAUUUUUUUUUUUUUUUUGUAGAGAUGGGAGUCCUACUAAGUUGCCCAGGCUGGUCUCAAACUCUUAGGCUCAAGUGAUCUUCCUGCCUUGGCCUCCCAAGUUGCUGGCAUUACAGGCAUGAGCCACUGUGCCCAGCCUUCUCCUCUCUUUAUCUGAUUAAAAUUCUGUAAAUGAUUUGUUUUCUUUGAAGAUGCGGAGUGGUGUCAGAGACUUGAUUUUUAAUGCCCAUGGGAGGUAGCUCACACAGGAAAGAAAGAAAUCAGAUGCUAGAGGUGAGAAUUCCAGUAACCAUGAACAGAAAGAACUUGGCACAGACUUCCCUGCCUCUCAAACACAGACAACCUGGGGCAUGCCUCUCCCAUUGUUGAGCUCCUGAAGAGUCGGAGUCAUGUCUCUGCUUCCCCAAAAUGCUGAAUGUCACAUCUUUCAUAAAGUAAGAGCACUGUAAGUAGACACUAACUUUUCGGGUUAUUUUGUCUCAAGAAUAAAAACACAAGGUAGAAAGAAAACAACGUACAUGUGUUUGAGAGUCUCCCAAUGAGAAUAGUAACCAGUUCUUCUCUAUUUCUCCUAAGAAAAAGGAAAGUGGACUCAACUGUAGUCCAAAUGACAGAGAUUAUAUAAUUUCUAAAUGGCAAAUUAGAAUAUUUCUUUCCUGAAAAUCUUAGCGGUUUUGAGUAGAUAUAGCUCAGGGUGCCUGCAUAAUCCAUAAAACAUUUGAGGGACCUAAACCUACCCCCAGUCCCUGCUGAAAACAGUGGUACUAGGGAGUCAUUUUGUAUCAUGUGAUCCUAGCUUCCUUGGCCAUAGCUGAUUGGACCCAGAGCUGAUUACCUGACUCCGGGGUAACCACUCCAUCAGUUGAUUCAUGAAAAAUGGGAUUAUUUCUUUGAUAAAUUUGAACUAAGAGAAAUAUAGGUUUCCCAGCAUUUGUGCAAGGGGUGGCCAUUUUUUGUCAUUUGGAUAAGGAUAAAUUAUCAGAGAAAUCCAAUAUGCAUGGAGAAGCAAAAGAAUGGAGAAAUUGAGAGAAAAAUUUACAAAAGAGAUUUUUUUCUGGGACUCAAAGACAAAAGACAAAUAGGAAGUGCUCUCAGUCGCUGACUGGUUUCCCAGUCCUGCUCUCAAUCCUCCGAGGUUCCCUGUGUUCUUGUCUGUUGGAACCUCUGUUCCCAUCAACAACCUCAUUUUCACUCCAGCUGCCUUGAGCAGGUUUCUAUUCCUUGCAAUAAUGGCGCCCUGGGGAAAACAACUCUGAAGAUGUCUACUGAUCUCAUCAGAUGCUUUGCUAAAAGGAUUUGCAUGUUAUCUCCAUCAUGCAAAGAGAGAGUACCUACUAGCUAUGGUAAUGGACAGUGACAGAAAGGUCUACUAAACAUCCAGAGUCUUCCCAGUUAAAUGUCUGAAGCCAUCCACCAUUACUAAACAGAUACACAGAAGGUGCUGAGUCCAUGGCUUUUGAGGAAGAUGCCCACCUGGCACAGUCCACCUUCCAGUGACUGUACUCUUCCUCUACAUGACCCUGUCUACACCAAAUACAGAACUGCACAUAUGCAAAACUAAAAAUGAAAUGCAUUUUCACGGAGAAGAGGCUUGCAUAACAAAGCAGGUCUUUGCCCUACAAAACAAAAUGAAAAGACAUGGCCACUGAAGACUGACAGGAAAACGAUGCAGUGGAACGGUGGUUCUUAAACUGUGUUCCUGAGAACAAGAUUUUUUUUUUUUUUUUUUGAGACAGGGUCUCGCUCUGUCACCCAGGCUGGAGUGCAGUGGUGUGACUGCGUCUCAUUGCAGCCUUGACCUCCUAAGUGCAAGUGAUCCUUGUGCCUCAGCAUCCCUAGUAGCUGGGUGUGUAUGUGCCACCACGCCAAGCUAAUUUUUACAUUUUGUGUAGAGACAGGGUUUCACUAUACUGCUCAGGCUGGCCUCGAAUGCCUGGGCUCAAGUGAUCCUCCUGUCUUGGUCCCGCAAAGUGCUGCAAUUAUAGGUGUGAGCCACUGAGUCCAGCAAGAAUGUUUGAGAUGGUACAGGAGUCCUACCAAGGCAUCAAACAUUUUCCUUCAAAUAAUAAGAAUUUAAACUGCCUGAGGAAUCUGUUA
rnacentral:lncRNA from 10 species